AGAGUUUGAUCCUGGCUCAGAACGAACGCUGGCGGCGUGCCUAACACAUGCAAGUCGAGCGCGAAUGGAGCAAUCCUAGUAGAGCGGCGCACGGGUGCGUAACACGUGGAUAAUCUGCCUGGGUGUCUGGGAUAACCAGUCGAAAGAUUGGCUAAUACCGGAUAAGCCCCCGGGAGCUUCGGCUCCUGAGGGAAAAGGUGGCCUCUGUAUACAAGCUAUUACAUCCAGAUGAGUCCGCGGCCCAUCAGCUAGUUGGCGGGGUAAUGGCCCACCAAGGCAACGACGGGUAGCUGGUCUGAGAGGACGAUCAGCCACACUGGAACUGAGACACGGUCCAGACUCCUACGGGAGGCAGCAGUGGGGAAUUUUGCGCAAUGGGCGAAAGCCUGACGCAGCAACGCCGCGUGUGUGAUGAAGGUCUUCGGAUUGUAAAGCACUUUCGACCGGGACGAAAACCCUGAGGCUAACAUCCUCAGGCUUGACGGUACCGGGAGAAGAAGCACCGGCUAACUCUGUGCCAGCAGCCGCGGUAAUACAGAGGGUGCAAGCGUUGUUCGGAAUUAUUGGGCGUAAAGCGCGUGUAGGCGGCUUUGCAAGUCGGGUGUGAAAGCCCUCAGCUCAACUGAGGAAGUGCGCCCGAAACUGCAGAGCUUGAGUGCCGGAGAGGGUGGCGGAAUUCCCCAAGUAGAGGUGAAAUUCGUAGAUAUGGGGAGGAACACCGGUGGCGAAGGCGGCCACCUGGACGGUAACUGACGCUGAGCGCGAAAGCGUGGGGAGCAAACAGGAUUAGAUACCCUAGUAGUCC
rnacentral:rRNA from 1 species